AUUGAACGCUGGCGGCAGGCUUAACACAUUCAAGUCGAGCGGGGGAAGGUAGCUUGCUACCGGACCUAGCGGCGGACGGGUGAGUAAUGCUUAGGAAUCUGCCUAUUAGUGGGGGACAACAUCUCGAAAGGGAUGCUAAUACCGCAUACGUCCUACGGGAGAAAGCAGGGGAUCUUCGGACCUUGCGCUAAUAGAUGAGCCCAAGCCGGAUUAGCUAGUUGGUGGGGUAAAGGCCUACCAAGUCGACGAUCUGUAGCGGGUCUGAGAGGAUGAUCCGCCACACUGGGACUGAGACACAGCCCAGACUCCUACGGGAGGCAGCAGUGGGGAAUAUUGGACAAUGGGGGGAACCCUGAUCCAGCCAUGCCGCGUGUGUGAAGAAGGCCUUAUGGUUGUAAAGCACUUUAAGCGAGGAGGAGGCUACUCUAGUUAAUACCUAGGGAUAGUGGACGUUACUCGCAGAAUAAGCACCGGCUAACUCUGUGCCAGCCGCCGCGGUAA
rnacentral:rRNA from 1 species